ACUCCUACGGGAGGCAGCAGUGGGGAAUAUUGCACAAUGGGCGCAAGCCUGAUGCAGCCAUGCCGCGUGUGUGAAGAAGGCCUUCGGGUUGUAAAGCACUUUCAGUUGUGAGGAAGGUGGUGUCGUUAAUAGCGGCAUCAUUUGACGUUAGCAACAGAAGAAGCACCGGCUAACUCCGUGCCAGCAGCCGCGGUAAUACGGAGGGUGCGAGCGUUAAUCGGAAUUACUGGGCGUAAAGCGCAUGCAGGUGGAUUGUUAAGUCAGAUGUGAAAGCCCGGGGCUCAACCUCGGAACUGCAUUUGAAACUGGCAGACUAGAGUACUGUAGAGGGGUAGAAUUUCAGGUGUAGCGGUGAAAUGCGUAGAGAUCUGAAGGAAUACCGGUGGCGAACGGCGGCCCCCUGGACAGAUACUGACACUCAGAUGCGAAAGCGUGGGAGCAAACAGGAUUAGAUA
rnacentral:rRNA from 1 species